GAUGAACGCUGGCGGCGUGCCUAAUACAUGCAAGUCGAGCGAACGGACGAGAAGCUUGCUUCUCUGAUGUUAGCGGCGGACGGGUGAGUAACACGUGGAUAACCUACCUAUAAGACUGGGAUAACUUCGGGAAACCGGAGCUAAUACCGGAUAAUAUUUUGAACCGCAUGGUUCAAAAGUGAAAGACGGUCUUGCUGUCACUUAUAGAUGGAUCCGCGCUGCAUUAGCUAGUUAGUAAGGUAACGGCUUACCAAGGCAACGAUGCAUAGCCGACCUGAGAGGGUGAUCGGCCACACUGGAACUGAGACACGGUCCAGACUCCUACGGGAGGCAGCAGUAGGGAAUCUUCCGCAAUGGGCGAAAGCCUGACGGAGCAACGCCGCGUGAGUGAUGAAGGUCUUCGGAUCGUAAAACUCUGUUAUUAGGGAAGAACAUAUGUGUAAGUAACUGUGCACAUCUUGACGGUACCUAAUCAGAAAGCCACGGCUAACUACGUU
rnacentral:rRNA from 1 species